rnacentral:rRNA from 1 species
UGUGACCUCAAAUCAGGUAGGACUACCCGCUGAACUUAAGCAUAUCAAUAAGCGGAGGAAAAGAAACUAACAAGGAUUCCCCUAGUAACUGCGAGUGAAGCGGGAAAAGCUCAAAUUUAAAAUCUGGCAGUCCUUUAACUGCCCGAGUUGUAAUCUAGAGAAGUGUUAUCUGCGCUGGACCG